rnacentral:rRNA from 1 species
CCUACGGGAGGCAGCAGUGGGGAAUAUUGGGCAAUGGAGUAAAGUCUGACCCAGCAAAGCCGCGUGAAGGAUGAAGGUUUUCGGAUUUUAAACUUCUGUUGCGAGGGAUGAAGAAUGGCGGUAGCUCGGGAGGAAGCCCCGUCAAACUACGUACCAGCAGCCGCGGUAAUACGUAGGGGGCAAGCGUUGUCCGGAAUGAAUGGGCGUAAAGGGAGUGUAGGCGGCCUUUUAAGUUAUAUGUGAAAGCCCCCGGCUUAACCGAGGAACUGCAUAUAAAACUGGCGGGCUGGAGUGCAGGAGAGGUAAGCGGAAUGUCUAGUGUAGCGGUGGAAUGCGUAGAUAUUAGGAAGAACACCGGAGGCGAAGGCGGCUUACGGGACUGUAACUGACGCUGAGGCUCGAAAGCGUGGGGAGCAAACAGGAUUAGAUACCCGAGUAGUC